rnacentral:lncRNA from 1 species
UUGUUGUAUUCUCUGGAACCACUCACCUUCGUGUGAGGUUGCUAACUCGGUCCUGUUCAAGUGGUUAAAUCGGAUGAAAUCCGACGGCACUUCGUGUUAACUUGGCUAAGGCAUGGGUGUCGCAUGUUAGGCGACUUAACCAUGUUUAAUCAAGCUAAUCCGAAGUGGAUCCACCACACUUCCCCUCUGGUAGUUCGUACCAUCGGACUAUCACCAAGAUGUCUUCUUCAUCUUCUUCCUUUUCCUCCUCC